rnacentral:rRNA from 1 species
AUGACCAUGAUCCACCCCAAGAGGCUUGCUCAGUUUGUGAGGAAGUGCCAAAGGGUCAAGGCAACAUCCAGAGAUGACGAAGCAUGCUGCACAUCAUCGCCGGUCGCAGAUAAAGGCCACUGCAUCAUGUACACGACUGAUGGGAGGCGAUUCGAGGUCCCCUUGGCGUACCUCGGCAAGACAAUCUUCGGCGAGCUACUAAGGAUGUCCAAGGAAGAGUUUGGGUUCACAUGCCACGGCCGGAUCAUGCUUCCCUUCAAUGCAGUGGUGAUGGAGUAUGUCAUGUGCUUGCUCAGGAGAAAUGCUUCAGGGAAGUAG